GUGAAUGUAUGUGCUAAGUUUAAAUAUGCGGUCGGUUAAUAAAGAUAGCGUCUAUUUAAAAAUGUGCUCGGACACUUUCGGACGUAGAUGAGCUCCAUAUGAGCUCCAGAAAAUCACAGACACUUAAGCGCUCACACCCCGCCCAGCGCAGCCUCUCCUCGGCAAGCCCAUCAGACUGCUGGCUCUGAUAUCUCUGUGGCGUUUAAACAUGUGAUUUAAUUCAUUUUGAUUUCUCAUACUUAACAAUGAAAGGGUUAUGUUUUAAAUCAUAUUUUAGGAUUGCACUUAAUUGAUAUUGCUGUUGAGUGAUGUUUCAUAUCUUUUACAUUUGUUAUAACCGGACUGCAUGCGAAUUUGAACUUCAGAGCUGAAGGAGCGGGUGGAGAAAUAGUCCCAAUAUCAUAACAAUCUUAAAUAAAACUUCUAAAUAUGCCCGUGUGUGUACCCGUGUGCGCGCGCGCGCGUGCGCGCGACCCGCUCACGCGCGCGUGUGUAUGUACAGUAUGUGCGUGAGUUUUUAAUUUAAAAUGUCUUAACUUAACUCGGAAGGAUCUGAAUGACAGGUCAUUUCAUCUGAGAUCAUUCCGCAUGUAACAGCCGGAAUCACUCACUGUUUCCCACAACGACACGAGUCAUCAGCCGUUUCCUCAAGGUCACGUCAGGUAAGUGUUUGUAAAUAAAUGUUAAUUUUAGACUAUAUUAAUUGGCAAAGACGCAAAUACUCGACGUUUUUGUAAACAUAUAAGUUAUAUAAAGGUGUGUUAUGUUAUGUGACCGACUUAAAGUGUGUGUUACGUUAUGUGUCCGAGUUAAAGUGGAGCUAUUUUAGUUAAGAUAAUACCGGACAGGGUUUAGGACUCCGUCUUAAUUAUAAUUGGGACAUUUUUACAAACAAACCUUAUAAAAUACAAUACUAGUGUGCAUUUUGAGACAAAACAAUAGCACUCAUAUGUUAACAGAUGUCAGUAUUUUAGUCAGUGAUAAGUCCUGUCCGAGAAAACCGCCCAAUAGUGUUUAAUUCAAUUACGUGUGAUGUCUGAGGGAAACUUGGCAAUUUUAGGGUAUAAAAUCUUUCACCGUCAAGCUUUAUUAUAUUAAACAUGUUAUUUAUGUAUGUGUGUGUGUUUAUAUUCCUCUGUUUAUUAAACCAGAGGGGUGGUGAUGUGGAGAGGCAGACCAGACCACCACCAUACGCGAAGAUGAGCCUCGAGGCGUGACAGUUAUUUUUUCAAACUGAGGAGUUCGGACUCCGGACCGUCAUUUCUGCUUGUUUGUACCCUGAGACAACCAUGGUUAAUAAAUGGUCAGACACGUCACUGGCUUUAAAAUAUAAACCCCAUUGAUGCAAAAAGAUGCUGCAUGGAAUGACAAUGUGGUUUGGAACAGACUUGGUGAAGCACAUGGAAACAUCUCUUAAUAAAAUGGCCCCAAACAUCAUCAGGAGUGCAAAAGAAGGAAGUAAAAACAUCUCUACGCCAAUCUCAUUGGAGAGGAAACCACAGAAGGUCUGGUGAGGAAUGCUGCACUUAUGUUAUUGCAAGCAUUAUUUCAAGAAAAUCCCAGCUUCCUUGACUGUGUAAAUAGUGAACCCAAAGGUCCCACACCAACCAUAGUGUUCAACGGCUCUCCUGAUCUUUUCAAAUCUGAAUGUAUCAACUUUAUAAUGGACAAUGUGAACUUAAUAUGUGGAAGACAUUGACAUCACAGGCUGUGGAAUGACUGUGUCACAGGUCGGAGAAGCGGACCGCCCCUGUCGCGGUCACGCUCCUCCUAGUUCCACCUCGAGGAGGUCCCAAAGCACCCCAAUGACCAGACAAACCAGAGGUAAGUAAAAUAUAGAAAUAGAAACUUUAUUUAAAUUAUUUAAAACUAAAGUGGGGAAUGGGAAAGGGAAUCUAAAAAUCUCGCUUCUCGCCCUCAGGGGGAGUAUUACGGGGCCAGGGACGUUGGAGGGGUUUCCACGUGACUCCAGCUGGAACACCGCUACAGAGCGUAUCUGGGUGGGUUGGGCACACACCGUCGCGCCGGCCCCUGAUGGCAUCCACAAGGGUCCAAGACCCUCCUAAGCUCCUAGCCGUAGCAGAACUACGUAUUUCAGCACCCGAAGGACUAACAACCCAGCCGGCAUCUGCAGCGUAUAUCCAACGCGAUCAAACUUCACUCUGACAAGUAACUUCCUAUACACAACCACGCCGUCCUUUCGCCCGGACCAGCCCCGCACUCUUUCCGCCCGCUACCUAGCGGUCGCCGGAUCAGCAGAGCCUGCGGACUCUUCGGAGGCUGGUCUUCGUUGUGCUGCCCAAGGCGGAAGUUGACCCGCCCGAAAAUCGACCCUUCCAGUAACUUCUACCUUCUCUCUUUAUAUCCUCCUCCCAGGCGUGGCUCGCCCAACCAUCGCUCGCCACGUCACUCACACAGCUGUGCCUUGUUUCAGCGAGUGCGGGGAUUCCCGGGGAACCCUGAAGUGCCGGUGUCUGUACAAACCGGUCCGGGCGGAACCUCUUCACUCUCCUUUUGGUUCUGCCCCGCAUAGUCACUCCGUGACAACUGUUUGCGUUUUUUUUUCUCCUCAAUGUUCAAUACUCUUUUGCCAUUAAGCACACAGUGACUUUAAUUUAUAAAAUAUAUGCUUAAGUUUUAAUACCUGUACAAAACAAAUGUACAAUCAACUUGUGUAAAUUGUCAUUCUAUUUAAUAGAUUGUUCAUGAAUUGUCUUUAAAUGCAUUGUGAUUUCGGUAACACUUUACAAUAAAGUUCAUUAGUUAACAUUAGUUAAUGUAUUAACUAACUUGAACAAACCAUAAGCAAUACAUUUGUUACAGUAUUUAUUCAUCUUUGUUAAUGUUAGUUAAUAAAAAUUUAAGCUUUAAUUGCUUGUUCAUGUUAGUUCAGAGUGCAUUAACUAAUGUUAACAAGAUUUUAAUAAAGUAAUUGUUGAAAUUAACAUUAACAAAGAUUAAUAAAGGCUGUAUAAGUGCAGUUCAUUAUUAGUUCAUGUUAACUAAUGUAGCUAACUAAUGUUAACUAAUGAACCUUAUUGUAAAGUGUUACCGUGAUUUUUUUUAAUUAUUUCAGACACAUGUAAAAGUUACUAAAAAUUAAUACUGCAUAUACUGUACAGUAUCUAUGCGUAAGGGAAAUAACUUAAACAAAAUUUUUAAUGUAUAGUGUAAUUAAGAGUUUAGCUGUUUAAUACAGAGAUGCAAUUUAUUUAUAUAUAUUAUUUAUAUAUAAACGUAUGUAUGUUUAUUAAAAAGUGAAAAUGCUUAAUGGAAAUAAUUAAAUAACUAAAUGGUUGAAUGUAAUGAGACAUUUUAAAUGUAAACUAAAGUUUUGCUGUCUAAUACAGAAUAAAGAGAUGUGAUUUUAAGUAA